CAAAAUAUGUUGUCGAAUUUUUAAAGCAACAACAAAAUAGCAAGAAAGUAAAAAAUCCUCUGCCCAAAAGGCAUGAACUGAGAGAAAUGUACCGGUACUGAGACUGGUUUUUGCUAAGGGGAUCUUUGCCAGCCUGGGUAACUUGAGCCUCACAGGAUAGUGGAGGCAAGACCUACAGUCGACCCAGGGUGGGAUUCCAAUAAGAGACCUUCACCCUACAGUUCUGGCACUCCUUCAUAUAAGGGUAGAUCAGAAAGGACUUGCCCACCCUUACAGACACAUAAAAGACUGCAAGGAGAAGUGCCUGUUUGCAGCCUUGAGUCUGAAUGGUAGAGAGAGAGAGAGAAGAGAAAGGUAUUGGCUCACUGAAUGUUUAACAACUGCUGCCUUUAUACCAGUUUGUAGCCAGAAUUCAAAUAACCUUGCUGGACCAAAAAAUAAUGUCAAGACAAAGAUUUAAAGAGUUACCUUUCUAGCACCUUCCCAAAACAAACACAAAUCCUCUCUGGAAAAAUCUUUCUUCAUCCCAGGUCUCAGAAUAUACCAACAGAUGGAAUUCCAGGGAAAAAGCAACAGCUUACAGUAAAAAUGAAUAGGUGAAUAAACAAACACAUAAACAAGGAAGUAAGGCACCAUGAGUGAAAAUUAGAAUGUGUGUGGAUAUAAAUACAGAUACAGACAUAUACAUAGAUACAAGAUAUAUAGAUUCAGCAGAAGUAGAGACACAGACUUCAGUUUUGAGAGUAUCAGACACAAACUAAAAGUGCUAUCCGUAAUAAAUUUAAUGAAAUAAAAGACAAGCUUGAAAAUAUGUGUUGAGAAUAAUAAACUAAAAAAUGACCAAGCACAUAUAAAUAAUAGAGGAAUAGACUAUCUAUUAGUAAAAAAUGUAAGAAUUGAAAGGAAAAUCCCAGUGGAUUUGUUUGACAGAAGAUUAGAGACAGCUAAGGAGAGAACUAAGAAAUUAUCCAGAGGUAGUACAGAUAGAUAGACAAUAUGAAUGACAAAUUUAAAAAUAUGAAGGAUAGAGUGAUUUCCAAUAUACAUCUUAAAUAGGGUUCCACAAGGAAAAAGCGAAAUCAUUAGGCAAAGCCAAUAAGUAAAGAGAAAAUGACUAAAAAGUUUCCGGAACUAAUGGAAAACAUUAAAUUAUAGAUUCAAGAAGAUCAAUGAAUAAAAAUUAUAAUUUACAUCUAGACUAUUGAACUAAAUUUUAUAAUCAAUUAAAACAUAUUUCAAGAAUAAGUACAAAAUACACUUUUAGAUUAACCAAAAGUACAAAAGUUUGCAAACAGACCCAUGCUAAAGAAAAUUCUAAAUAAUAUAUUUCAGGCAGAAGAAAAGUGGUCAUUUAUGAAAUAUCUGAUAUCUAAAUAAAGGUAAAGUUCACAAACAGUUGUAAAUAAAUUUUGACCAUAUAAAAUAAUACUUUGGGGUCUACCAAAAGCAAGAUAAAAUUGAAUGCCCAAUAAUAGUAUUUACAUUAGAAAGGGGUAGCGUUAAAAUAUUGAAUCAUUUAAAUUAGGCUGAUUUAUUCUACAGUAAUAAGCAAUCUUGAAAUGUGAAUGGCUGAACACAAAGAAGCUUUAUUUUCCCUUAUAUUUCCUGCCCGUAUGUAGGUUGGUGCAGUGGCUCAUUUAAUCAUAAACAUUCAAGGACCCAGGGUAAUAGAGUGUCCAUCUUGACAUAGCUUUCCAAGUUCAUAAUAACAAAGGAAAAAGAAUAAGGUGAGUCACUUGUCAAUUCUUAAACACAUAUGACCUCCUUCACUUCUUACUGGCCAAAGCAAGUCACACGGCCAUAUUUAGAUUCAAGGUGUGGGGUGAGGAAAGGCAAUCCUAUCAUAACACCAAAAGAAAGUAUGGGAAUGUUGUGAACAGCUCUAAUAUCAAGUUCUUAUAUUUUGGGGGAACAGGAUAACAGGAUUUCUCCAGAGAGGAUUUGUGUUUAUUUCUGUAAACAUGAUAGAAGAUGGUAAGUUAACCAUUAAUAGAAUAAUUACAGAACAUAUAACUUCCAUUCUUGAGGAGAUAAAAAGUAGGAUGAGAAAAAUGUUCAAUCAAUCCAAACAAGACACAAAAGGAGAGGAAGAUAAAGCACAAAAUAAGGUAGUAGAUAUAAAUGCAAACAUGUCAGUUACAAGUAUAAAUGAACUAAAAGCUCCAUUUAAAAUACAAAAAGCUCCUUAGAAUGGAUUUUUAAAAAAUCUAGCUAUAUGUUGUUUACAAGAAACAUAACCAAAACAUCAAGAUACAAAAAGAUCAAAAGUUAGAGGAUGGAAAAUAAUAUGCCAGCAAAAUUAUAAGCAAAAGAAAGCAUAAUUUCUAUAUUAAUAUCAGACAAAAUGAACUUAAGACAAAAAGAUUUACUAGUGAUAAUGAUAAAAGUAAAUAUUUGUCAACAUUUAACAAUUUUAAAAUUUGAGGCACAUACAUAAAACCAAAAAUUAUCAGAACUGUAAGAAUUAAGUCAGACCUCUUUUAAAGUGGGAGAGUUUAAUGUAGUUUUCUCAUUAAUCAAUAAAACAUGUAUACAAAAAUAAGUAAUGAUAUAUAAAGAAGAUAGAACAUUUGAAGAAUAUGAUUAAAAAUAUUGACCUGUUAUACCUAUUUAGAACAUUACUCAUCAACUGUUCGAUACACAUUGUUAACUUUAUACCAUGUCAAAGCAAGCCUUUAAGAGGACUGAAAUACUUUAUGUUCUUUGACCACAAUAAAAUUAAGGUAGAAGUCAUUAACAAAAAUAUAAUUAGAAAUUCUUCAUAUGUUGGGAAACUGAGAAACACAAUACUGAGGUCAUGAGUCAAAUAAGGAAUAAUAAUGAAAAUUAAACAUAUAUUAAACUGAAUGAUAACAGAAGUACUGUAUACCAAAGUGUGUAUGAAGUAGCUAAAGCAGUAAAUAGAGUGUACAUCAUAGCCUCAGAUGUUUAUAUUAUAAAACAAGAGAGGAUAAAUGACUGAGCUGGGUUCUGGUAGGACUGUGGCAGCAGCCACAUCUUCAUGUUUCUCUUCCUAAAACCAUAUAAGGAAACAAAAAAGUGUAUGAAAACACUAACAGUGUACAGCUUUCAGUAAAACAAGAAGAUAGAGGAAAUAUGCAAACGCCAUAACAUCAGUAAGUUUUGGGGGGAAAACACCAGAAAUCAGUAUAAUCAAUACAGGUAACCACUAUAGUGUGACAGGAAGGAAGCAGGUGUUCCCAGAUUAGUGCAAACACAACCAAGAACACAACAGCCAAUAUACAUCCUAGAAGAAGAGGGCUCCAAUGUGAAUGAAAAUUCCAUAGGCAAGUCUGAGAAUGAACAGGACACAGGAUGAAUAGCAGGGGAGAGAGAAGAAAAAAGUACACAAAGUAUAUGGAACCAAAGGGCUCCAAAUUAAAGAAAUUUCUUAUCAUUUUGGCAAUAGAUAAAGUUAACUCUUUAACUGAAAUGCCAAAAGAAUAAACCCUGUUGCUAAUUUGAGUUCCACUAAGAGCUGACCCAGUAAAAUCCAACUCACACAAAUAUGAUUUUUUAAAAGUGAACAUUCUAUGUUCCUAGAUACUAUGAAAAGAAGAUAGAAAAUUAAAGCUUCUUAGCAGAAGGUGCAAAAAAUCAACAACAAAAAAGCAAAGAGUUCACAAAGCAGAGGAUAACUGACAUAUAACCUUCCAAAACAAAUUUCAGAAGAAAAACAACCCUGCAAAUUGCAACAAUUGCAACUCUGAAAGGACACCACAAGAAAUUAUUUUUAAAAAUUCAGGGACGAGAUGACUGGAACUCCACAAAAAAAUUUUAAAGAAAAAUGCAAAAUCAUUUCAUAUUGAGAGUGCAUAAGAGAGACUAGAAGUAAGAGUAUCAUCAUAGAAAUAAGAGUAAGAGACAAUAGAUAGAAACAGGAAACGUCAAGAAAAUGGGGGAAAAUAGAUUAAAAAGAUUGGAGAAAAAAAAUGAUGGACUAAAUACAAACAAAAAGAAAUCCAACAUCUGUAUAAUUGACAUCCCCAAAGAAAGAAAACAAUGAAAUAGAACAGGUAUUUUAACUUAUAGUUCAAGAAAACUUUCUUAAAGACUUUUUAACUGAGUAAAAAAUAACCUAAUGUCCAUAUAGAAGAGAUUUGUGCCUGAGAAGAGUAGCAUGGGAGGAUUUGACCCAACAACUAGCAAGAUGAGAAAGCCACUGUCCUCAAAUCACAUUGAGAACUGCAGAAGGACAGAGGCUUUAUCAGCAGAACAGAGAGAGUGUCCAGAAAUAGAUCUCAAAUACAUGAGAAUUUAAUGUGUGACAAAGUAGUAUUUCAGUUUAGUGGGCAGAGUGGAUUAUUUAAUAUAAAUGUUCUGGCAUAGCCAGCCAUCUAUUCAUAAGAAAAUAGAGUUAAAUAAAAUAUACAAGACCUGACAUCACAUAUACAAAAAUUCUAGGUUAAUUAAAAAUUCAACUUAAAAAAUAGAAAGGACAAUAAAACCCUUCCAGAAAGAAAAAAAAUGCAAUUACAGAAAUAUUCCUCUCUGGCAACCUUGAAACAAUACAAUAAUAGAUUUAUGUGAAUGUAUGGAAAUUAGAAACUUUUGUAUGGGAAAAGAAAAUAUAAGCACAAUUAAAAAUAACAAAAAUAUACACAUUGUUGAGGAGGGGUUUCAUCUCUAUAAUGUACAGAGAAUUCUUACUAAUUAGUAAGAAGGGUAUAAACAACCCAAUAAAAAGGCAAGCAAGAGAUUUACAGAGCCAAUACGUGAAAGAGCAAAUACAAAAGGACAACAAAAGUAUGAAAAGAUGAUCAAAUGCAAAAGAAAGCCAGAGUAUGGUGGCAGCCUAGUCCCAUGAUAUUUUUCUCCCAACCAUCAAAGAGUUGUUGAGAGAGAGAGAGUGAGAGAGAGAGAGAGAGAGCAUGAGAGAGAGAGCGAGCGAGCGAGCGAGAGAGAGAGACUGCUGGUGAGGAUGUAUGAAUAGGGCCACUCAACCCAGCAGUUUCACCCCUAAGAAUUAGUCCCAUGGAAAGAGAAGCAUCUAUUUGUAAGACUAUUUAUGCAAGGAUACGUAUCACAACAUUUUUCCUAAUGGCAAAAUCAAAUGAAUACUCAGAAUCAGGAAAAUGAUUGAAUAAAUUUUGGUAGAGCCACUUGGAAUAUUUGGUAGCAGUUACAAGAAUGAAUUCGAAUUGUAACAGGUGACUUGCUGGUAUUGUUGAAUGUGACAAGCAAGAUUCACAAAACUCUCUAUAAUCUCCCUUUUACAAAAUUAAUGAUACCCAAACCCUUCCUUACAUGUUCAUAGGUGUGUGCAUAUCAUAAAUAUCUUUGAACAUGAUUAUAUGAACACAGAGAAAAAUAAAAAUUAUAAUAAGUCUGGUUCCCACAACUCAGCUUGCUACACUGGAUUCUUUGUCAUCCGAAUCUGACUAUUAAACCCAUGCCACAUAUAUUUUAGUUUUUUACACCACUUUGAGAUCAUAAUUUCUGUAUUAGUUAGGUCACACAAGCUGCUAUAAAAAAAGAGACCAAGAAAUCUAAUGGCUCAAAUUAGGUAGAAGUUUAUUUCUUGUUGGCAGAAGUGUCCAAGGUACCGGUUCAAGGCUAAGUGCUCUCCUUCAACUGAUAAUUCAGGGAACUAGCUCACUAGACACCUGGUGACUUGUUAUGCUACCUCAAAACAUCCGUAAGCUAUUCCCAUGGGAACUGGGAAGGUGGACCGCCUGCCUCCCCAGCCUGUAGUUCCAGGAAAAGCAACUGGCAAGCACCAGAAUUUUGGUGUGUGUUGUCUACUCCUUGCUGCUUUAAGCAAGGUAAGAAAGGAAACAGGGGGAUCUCAGGAAAGAAUGUCCUGGCUCCUAAGAACAGGUGGAGUGGAGCAGAGAGACAGCAGGGAUCUGGGGCUGGGCUGGGUGGGAGGCCCAAAGAAGAUUGUCGUUGCUCAUUGCUCAAAUCUUUUUCAAUCGCUUCCCACUAAAACAAAAGGGGGGAGCAUGGGGGGCACCCCUGGAGAAAGUUUAUUCUAAAGAUGGAAGGCGUUGCCUGUUAUUUCGGAUGGCCUUCGCCCAGCUGUCAUUAAGUUGGGAGAAGGGCAGGUGUUGAGCCAGCAAGGCGAGAACAGGGAACGGACACCAGCUGAAGGACUACACCUGGGUGAAAUUUUGAGCGCAGUUAUCAGCACACGCAACAGACUGAAAGCGAAUGUACCAGAAGCCUCUGGAGAUUCUGAGAGAAUUUUUAUUCUCAAAGGAACUCAGGCCUGGCCAGAGGCGAGCUGGAUGUGAAGGGACCUGUGCUGACCUGGGCCGUAGGACAACACCUGACAUUCCAAACUCACGCUAGCUUCCCAUGGACCGAGCAGGCACUGUGGCCUCCCAGGAAGGCACACUGCCCGGGACAGAAGCCAGGAUCCGGAGGGGACAGUGGACCAAGGAGUCCCUCCAAGAGAGCAAAACUGCAGUCUCAUAAAGGAAUGGGAACGUUCCUCCAAGACGAUUGUUCUCCAAAUACCUGCCCAGCGUGACCCACGGUUGCUGUGCACCUGUGAUAGCCGUUGGCUUGUCAUUUCUCCCUUUCUGAGUGAGAAUUGUCACUGGAGUCACCCUGUGCCUGCUCCAGCAUUAUACGUUAGGUGUGCACGCGGGAGGCCUGGUCAUUACCUUCUAGUUUGCAGAUCACCAGACUGCAAGGAUCCACGACCGCUCCUGAAAAGAAGGGCUGUGUGUUGCUCAGGUGUCCCCUACGCUGGGCUGGAUGCAGUACCUGAGUGAGACUUUGGGCUGUCUCCUUUGGGAAGGGCAGUCAGGGCCACCUACACGGGGACAGAGGGGCACACACACAUGACUGCUGGCUAGGACAUGGAAGUCCAGGCGGGGACAGCAUUUCUGAGCCUCCCCCUGUGCGCCUGGCCACACUCAGCAGCCUUGUGUUCACCUGAGUAGCCUCUCCGGGGGAAUGCGAGGGAAAGGGAUGUGCACAAUUUCCACCCCGUGUCCUUGGACUUCCGCCCUUGCCGCGUGGCUGGGACGGUGACGGUGGCCGUGGCCCUAGAAACCACAUCCAGGAGACGGUGGGGCCUCCAUCCUUGGGUCCCUGAAUAACCGUGUGGAAGAGGGGUCAGCUGCCCACCUAUUACCUGCCCCGAAUGGCUAACUGAACAAGGGACGUGCUUCCACCUGGAUUGAGCCAUCAUGGCUGUUUUUAGAGGCGACAGCCGGUGCGACCCUCACCGCGCGUGCGCGUGGUCUCCCGGGGGCGGAGACUCGUGGCUCCUGAGAGGAUGUACUCGUUUCUCAUGGUUGCCGGAACAAGUUACCGCAAAGUGCCUUAAAGUGACAGAAGUACAUGCUCUUAGUCCCAGAAGUCUAAAAGGGAAUGUGCAGGGCUCGUCCCUCGUCGGGGUCUGAGGGAGAAUCCGGGUCCUUGCGGACUUCCGGCGCGUCGAGGCGCCCGCCGCCUGCCUGAGCGCGGCCUGUCCGCCGCCGGGCGCCCUCUCCCCUCUGCCCUCGCUCCCGCCGCCACAUUCUCCAUCUUACUCUGCCCUCCCUCCCUCUCGCGAAGACCCCGGUGAUGGCUUGAGCCCACCUGAAUAAUCCAGGGUUCUCUCUCCACCCCCCAAGUCCUUAGUUGAAUCACAUCUGCAGAGUCCCUUUCGCCACGCGAGGGAGCAAUCCUGAUUCCCGGGAUCCCGGGGUGGGCCUUUCUCGGGCGACAUUAUUCUGUCUCCACAGACAGGGGAAGAGAGCAAGGAAAAGGGGAAACCAAGAAAAGAAAAAAAGUAAAAACAAACAUUUGUACGUUAUGUAAAAUUGUUUACGUCUGUCUGUGGAAACAAGCGAUUUUUAAAGAGAAGAAAAUAUCUGGAAAAAAAAAUUAUAAAGAAGGAAGGAGAGGAAGAGGAGGAGGAGGAAGUGGAAAGAAGCAGAUUCUUUGGAGGAAUGAUGCACGCUAGCAUAUACCCAUGCAUGCCUCUGGGCAGGAAAGGGCAUUUCUCAAGAAAGCGUUUCCAAAUGAGAUUCCUUCUCUCGUAGUCCGAGUUUCCGUUCCCUUGUUGGGAACAGAAAAGCAGGGUAAAGGCACGGACCGGGAUUUUCAGAUUUAAAAAGUUCCCAAGGUGCUGCCUUUCUAGAACAGAAACCUGCUACUCUCUCUUCAUUAUAGACUCAACAACUAUUUUUUUUUUCUUUCUAACCCAGCGUUCACCGAACAGUCUCUGCCUGACAGCAGGGCGGCCGACACCUGCCUGUUGAUCGGUGCUGGGACGUCCUUAGAAAGCCAGCGUCUCUGCAAGACGGGAUUGAGAAAAAGCAGCACCUAAAAUAAAAUUCUUAGAGGGAGGAUCCCUUGGAGAGAAAUGCGCUGAAAUUAGAUACAUAACGCCUAUUUUUAUCCUCUUUUCUUGAAAUUCAAAUUUUCUGGGACCAAGAGCAAGAUUACUAUGUGAGCUUUUUCUUCCUUACUUAAUUCAUAAAGAGUUUUAAGAAUACAAAUUUCCAUUCUUUCUUUUGUCGUUCUCGCACACUUGAGACUGGAGCUGUUCUCACGGAGGCCGUCGGGGCGCUAACUCCGCCCGGCCCGCGAGCAUCACAGACGGCGCAGGUGCCAGGCGCGCUCCCCUGGGUUCUGCGCCCACCGGGCUCCCCCACAGGGCGCGGGCGUCAUGGGGAGGAGCCCCCCACGCCCCGUCGUCAGCCUGUUUGCAGCCCUGACGGAGAAAGCUGCCUGCGGUGGAAACGGGGCUCCAGUGGCCCCGUGGGAGGGAAACAGGAGGAGGACGGCAGCAGACAGGUCUCAAGUCUCCUGUUUGUUCAUAUCACUGUCAUUUUACUGUUACAUUGCAUCAACAUCCACACAGGCGAAAUGUUUUUGUCCAAGGCAAGAGCCUGAGGAAGCGGGCACACUGCAAAGCAGGGAAGACCCUGGCCGCCCUCCAUGUCUGUUGGCCGGUUCAGAUUCAGAAGCUGCCACUUGGAGCUUCAAUCACAGGACAGCAUCACUUUGAAACUACAGCUUAUAUUUUCACAUGUUGGUUUAAAUCACCUUUUUUUGUCACUUUUGUCUCAUUUGUAUUGUUUGAAUAUGAAAGGCCAAAUAAUUUUUCUAUUUUCAUGCACGAUAGUCACUAAAAUCAUUUAGCUGCAUUAGUUAAUAAGAGUCUGCCAUCCAGAAAACUAGUUUGCAUUUCAUUUGGGGGGAAGAUUUUAAUAAUUAAAUAUAAUCAAUAGUGGAAUUAUCAUUCUAGCAAAUAUCUGAAUCUGAGAAAGAUAUUGUCAAUUUGUGCUUAGUGCCAGCACUGUUUACUCCAUUAAUGGCUCUGAUUUUAACAAGCUUAAUCAUCUUUAUAGGUUACUCUCGGAUUCCAUCUCCUUUCCCUUUUUAAUUGUGUGGCUCAUAUAAAUGCCUCUGCGAUUUAAUUACCAGGAGGGAGACAUGUAUUUUUCCCUCUUGAUAUUAACAUUAGGUAAGCCCCUUUGGUGAUCUCUUGAUCAUGCAUAGUGUGGGCUGCAUAUUUUUUUUAAAAAAAGCACAUCAGAUUAAAGGAAAAAGGACAAAUUCCACAGUCUUAAUUUUAGGACUCAGUCAAAGGAACUGUGCUUCCUUUGUACCUAGCUCAGCACUCGUUCGCUUCUAUUCCUUUGGUGCCUUCAUGGGGCAGGGAGGACGGCUGCUGGAGGGGUGGGUGGUCAGCACACGUACUCAGGCCGAAUCCCCGCCAUGGUUCAGCCCUGUAUAAACGCCCACCGGAGCCGUCUUAGCCGGGGUGUGCUCGUCAGGAUGAAAACACUGUAGGGUUCCCCCGGGUCUGUUUCCACAGGGACGUCUUUGUCUGAUUCUCACACAGCCUCCCUUUGAACGGCAAUUGCGGCGGGCCUCUGCACCCCUCCCUCUGAAGGUGUGGCCACCUGGAACGUUAACGGGGGUUAAGGGCGCCAGAAGAAGAGCUUGUACUCCAAAGUGACCACUUCUCCAGGAUGUAUCACCGCAUGCUGCAGGAUGCAGACCAAAGGGAGGACUGGCUCUCUUUUGAUCUUUCCCCCUCCUCAUCCCCUAGCCUGCUUUAGGUGUCCUGGGAACUCUGCCCUGCCUGUGACCUGCUGAUGCUUUAAACCAGCGGUCCCCAACCUUUUUUGCACCAGGGACUGGUUUCAUGAAGACAAUUUCUCCAGGGCCUGAUGGGGGGUGGGUGGGGCUCUGCAGCCCAGUCCCAGGCACAGGGGUUGGGA